AUGGAGCACUGUUGUCUGCCUGUCCUACAGAGCACUGUUGUCUGCCUGUCCUACAGAGCACUGUUGUCUGCCUGUCCUACAGAGCACUGUUGUCUGCCUGUCCUAUGGAGCACUGUUGUCUGCCUGUCCUAUGGAGCACUGUUGUCUGCCUGUCAUAUGGAGCACUGUUGUCUGCUUGUCCUACAGAGCACUGUUGUCUGCCUGUCCUAUGGAGCACUGUUGUCUGCCUGUCCUAUGGAGCACUGUUGUCUGCCUGUCCUACAGAGCACUGUUGCCUGCCUGUCCUAUGGAGCACUGUUGUCUGCCUGUCCUAUGGAGCACUGUUGUCUGCCUGUCCUAUGGAGCACUGUUGUCUGCCUGUCCUACAGAGCACUGUUGUCUGCCUGUCCUAUGGAGCACUGUUGUCUGCCUGUCCUAUGGAGCACUGUUGUCUGCCUGUCCUAUGGAGCACUGUUGUCUGCCUGUCCUACAGAGCACUGUUGUCUGCCUGUCCUAUGGAGCACUGUUGUCUGCCUGUCCUAUGGAGCACUGUUGUCUGCCUGUCCUAUGGAGCACUGUUGUCUGCCUGUCCUACAGAGCACUGUUGUCUGCCUGUCCUAUGGAGCACUGUUGUCUGCCUGUCCUAUGGAGCACUGUUGUCUACCUGUCCUAUGGAGCACUGUUGUCUGCCUGUCCUAUGGGGGCACUGUUGUCUGCCUGUCCUAUGGAGCACUGUUGUCUGCCUGUCCUACAGAGCACUGUUGUCUGCCUGUCCUAUGGAGCACUGUUGUCUGCCUGUCCUAUGGAGCACUGUUGUCUGCCUGUCCUAUGGAGCACUGUUGUCUGCCUGUCCUACAGAGCACUGUUGUCUGCCUGUCCUACAGAGCACUGUUGUCUGCCUGUCCUAUGGAGCACUGUUGUCUGCCUGUCCUAUGGAGCACUGUUGUCUGCCUGUCCUAUGGAGCACUGUUGUCUGCCUGUCCUAUGGGGGCACUGUUGUCUGCCUGUCCUAUGGAGCACUGUUGUCUGCCUGUUCUAUGGAGCACUGUUGUCCGCCUGUCCUAUGGAACACUGUUUGAGGACUCACCUGGAUCAAACGUGUCUCUCCAGAGGACUGCCAUCAGACAAACGGCAAAAAUUAAAAAUAUUGUCUUCAGCGGGACCUGCAUAACAAUGUUGACUUCUAUUCAGUGUCGCAGGUGA
rnacentral:lncRNA from 1 species